GCUACUUCCCACUGUCCUUUUGACCACCCCCCCCCCUCCCCACCCCGAAUCCACCGACUGAAUCCUGACGCCAGCCGCCUGCCCGCCCGCCUCCUGCCCUUUCCCUCUCGCUCCCUUUCAUCACUCUCUCUCUCCCUCUCACCCUCAUUGUGAGCCGCCACGCUGGUCGCCAUGGGAACCACUCCGGGAUUGGGUGUUGUUCCUGUGACCUCUCUGACAGCUCUCGGGAGUUGGAGGACAAACUUUUUUUUAACCCCGCCACCACCACCACCACCCACUCAUUCACUUCGGCGCUGUUACACGUGACGAAGAAUUACAUCUCGGUAGAAAGAGCAAGCGAAAGAAAGCAAGACGUUUGUAAGAAGCGGCGUGCCUGGUGGCAAAGACAAUAGCUUUAGUGUGUGUGUGUGUGUGCGUGCGUGCGUGCGUGCGUGCGUGCAUGCGUGCGUGCGUGUGUGUGCGCACGCGCGUCGAAAACACACGCGUGCUCGCCAGCAGCUCGGCAUUCAGAAUCGCCCCCGUCGUCCGGCUGGGCCCAUUCGUGGCUCUUUGGCCCGAACGUGAUCACAGCUUUUCAUACUGUGCUACCAAGCGACAUGCGCAUCGGAACGCCGAAAGAAAAAACAAAAACAAACAAAAAAACAAAAACAAACAAAAAAACAAAAACUCAGGUGUGUGGGUUACGCCAAGGUCACGCUGUAAAUAUAAACUUUAGCGAGAAUCAAACUGACGUAGAGACCAUGUCGUAGAAAUACAUUUCACAAGAGAUUCUGUAUGAGGAAAUCCUCACUGGGUAAAUAUAUAAAAAAUAGUCACUUAAGAUAGCAUAGUUUUUUGUUGUUGUUUUUUUUGUUUAGUUUUUUUUAAAGGAUUUUUACAAGGUGGCACAGUGUUCAAGUGGUUAGCACAUCUGCCUCGCAGCCCUGCGAUCGGGGGUGGAAUCUCACCUCCAGCUACUACGACAUAAUACUUCCCUCGCAGCAAGUUUCUCCGCCCAUGACUUAGCAGCAACCGCCACUUUUAAGCGACUGAGCGGUCCGAAAAACAAUAUCAAUUCAUAGCCAAACGGUCAGCUGUGCUGCAUGGAGUUAGCUUCUGAUAAGCGGCACAUACGCGAUACCGCGGCGGAAUUUGUUCGCCAUGCACACGCCUAGAAUAUUGAUCAGCACACUAAUUGACAAGUGGAAUUUGGCGGCCUGUUGACGAAGUGCUGCCUCCACGAGGGAAAAAAAAAUUAGCUGUGCUGUCUUCGUGGGGGUUGCCGGUCGCAGUUGCUUUUUUUCGGUUGUCACAGAAAUGUUAGUACGACAUUUGGGAACUCCAGGCAUUUUCAAUUGUGAGGAAACGUCAUCCAUUUAUGGUGCCCGCUGCACUUGAUGGUAUAUAAAGUGGCAUAUGAAUAAUCUCAUGACGCCAUGUACGUAUAACGACAAGGGCACUCUGGAGGGCAAAGCUUUUUCCCUUCCUGAAGGCCAGUGUAGAGAGAGAGAAAGAGAGAGAGAGAGAGCGAGAGAGAGAGAAAAUCAAGGCUGAAGAGAGAUAACAUAAAAAUAGCACAGCGUGUAAACACAUCUGGCCCAAUUUUAGCAGUCUGACGGCAUUGGCUUCCAAUAAGAGGCGGUCAUUAUAUUUUGUGUCUCCCAUUCAAAUGAAUAAGGAACAGGAAUGUGCUUUUUGAUAUAGUUAUUUGCUGCUUACACUAUGCAGUUACGAGAGAUAAACCCGACUACUGUGUGUCAUUUGUUUUUCAGGCCUAGAAUGAUUAUCCAGCCUUUUUUUUUUCCCCCCCCCCGAGUGCUUGUUGGGCGACAGGUGGGGUACUCCCUGGACCGGUUGCCGGCCAAUCACAGAACCCUGGGGGAAAACAAACUGAGUCCGGAUUUGAACCCAGGACCGCUGGAAUGCAAGGCAGAUGUGCUCAAAGUACCAUCGUGCUGCUACGGAGAUGAUAAUUGAGGUCGCCAGUUCUGAGCUCUCCGAGCCGCUUUCAACAAAACGGCAAUUCCAAAUGACGCAACUGGAGCGUCAGCACCAGUGUUGACGGGCAACUAAUUACAUGCAACGAGAUUAUGAAAUGUAUUUACAAACUGCAAUUGCAAUCUGUUACAUUACUGGCAGAAAUUUCCAUGAUUAGAAUUUUGGUUAAUUAAAAAUGACGACAACAACAACAGCAACAGAAAAUCGCCACAAAGGCUCAGUUUUUGUUUUUCAUAUCACUUCCUCCAUCUAAAGUUGACACUUAUGAUUGGCUCUCUCUGGUCAUGUGCCAUUCGACCACAAUCUCAAACAUGACCUAUUUUUUCUAAAUAGUUGUGGCGCUGUCUAUUAGUUUGUCUGAGAUUUUGAAAAGGUUUGACUCACAGUUAAACCUUUGAACACAUAAAAGAAGAUUGACUUUUGAAGUUUCAUUUUGAUCAUUUUGGACGUUUUUAUGAACAUUCACUUAUCUGGUUUGUCAUAUGAAGCGAUAUUGUCUAAAUUGUGCACAUUUGUCAAUUACGUCAACUUUGGUUUGGCUUUCCACGUUGUACACAUAAAAUGCGAUAAACACAUUUUGAUUAUGUAUUUACAUUUCAUCAUGUUUUGUGAACUGUUUAUUAUGUGUGUAAAAAAAUACAAAUAUGCGGUUUAUUUCAAAAUCAUGAUCUCUGGUUUUAAUCCACUUUUUAGAGGACACAUCCAAGGGUCCUGUUGAUGCAUGAAUUUAAAAAAAAAGUCAUUUUCCCAACACUGGUCGGCACACAUCCUCAGUGACCUCGAGAGGGGAUGACUAACCUGCUCUCCAGCUGACUUGGACGCACUUCAAAAGUGGGAGGGGCAAAAUCUUUGAAAGGCCUCGAGUGUCAGCGCUUUCUUCCAGAGGAAGCGGCGGCUUUUCGAGGUCGAGGCAGCAGUUUGGCCGCCGUUGUUUUGCCACAAAAAUGCAAGGAUGCAGCGGCGGAUAUGUUCCCAGCGUGACAAAUGUUUACACUCGCACACACGCAGACGGACGAUUGUGCUUUAACCCCCGUGGGUUGUUUGAUUUUAAAACCUGAUCGGCUUGCCCGUGGCCAUUUUGGUCCCCAUACAGACAGUCUGUAAUUUAUAAGUUUUUUCAUGUUUUUGCUUUUUUUCUUAGCAUUGAAUUUCCUUCUGAAAAAUCUAUUAGUUUUACUGAUAUGCGUAUGUGGAUUAUUGGCAGUUGCGAUCCAUCAAAUGUCAUCAGAGUUUCUAAGAAAAAUAACAAUUCUGAAAUAAUACUUUUCAAUACUUUUAAUGCCAAAAUGUCUUUACCGUUGGUGUCCGAAAUGAAAUUUCAUGAUUUGCAACAUGUUUUCUAAAGAGACUUAUGAUAUUUUGGGAUAUAGGAUUUUUCUCCUAAUCCUUUAUAUGCAUUUUCCAUGACAACUAACAGAAAUGUAUCUUUGUGUUUUCAAGAGUUCUUUUUUUGUUGCUUCUUUUACAAAUGGUCCUUCUUUGUCACUCAAUGUUGUCUUCAGCGUUAAAGCCACCGGGGAGAUCCUCACUAUUGUGCUCCUCUCUAGCCCUAGAGAGGAACUGAUUAACACCUCACCCCUAAUAAGGUUUAUAAUUGCCUAUAGAGUCCACAAGAUGGCAGCAGAGCACAACAUGAAGCUCCUCAAUUCACUUCAACAAAGUUCCUUGGAAUCAAGAUAACACAAGAUGGGGCUAAAACAAUACAGUACUUUUAUACUCCACAAGGCUUUGCCCUGAACCCCAAAACAGCAAAUAGGUGUUUGUUUUUUUCAGCGAAUAACGGUUUGAGAUUUGAUACUGGUUUCCCCCAAAAAAUCUGCAAAUAGGCGAAUCGGUGAGCAGCGAAUGGCAAAUUCGCGGGGAAAAUAAACCCACUGGACUGACCACCUUGCACCGAAAUUUAACUGUGAUAGGCUCGAGCAGUACAAAAAUGCAAAUUCUCACCUUUUUCGCCAUCACUCGAGAGAUCGCAUGCCGGAUGUUGCAGACAGCGGGCCUGACCUGCAAAUACAACACAGGAAGCCUGUAAUUAGAUGUCAAGAACCCGCGCGGGUUUUUAACGAGGCCGGCCUGCAGUUGUCGUGGACUUCUAACAAACCUCGAGCGGCGUGCCAAACGACAGACGCGGCGGUUCCUGCGUUUUACCCCGAAGACCGACGCAAUCGCUGCACAAAACCCAAUCAGUCUGCGUUGUGUAAGCACGGGGAAUCGAACGCGUGCGGGAGACCAAGAAGGGCCGAGCGUGCGCACGUUGCCAAAGGAGACUGGGAAGGAUAGGUGGAAAAUAAUGUGUGCGUGUGUGGGGGGGGGGGGGGCCUGAUUCAGUGUGGAAGACGGCUGCUUUUUCCACUGCCUAAAUCAAAUUAAUUAGCUCCUUCAUCUCCAGGCUGCUACUCGGGCAUGCUGGCGAAGAGAGCGAGGGGGGCGGGAGGAGGAGAUGGGACAUGGCGGCGGCUUUAGCGAGGAAGGGGGUGUCAAGCGUGCAGUGUAUGUGCGCCAUUGACGAGGACAGGCCGCGAAAAGGAAGGGGGCGGGGUGCGUCAAUUCUCCGAUAAGCACGGGGGUUGUUUUGCUUCGGGAGGAAGUGGCUGCGUGUACUUCCUGUUUCGAGACAGCCUGUACUUUUGAGGCCGCUGUCUUUUUUUGUUUUGCAUCCAUGUCAGAGCCCUCUGGGGGGGGACACACAAAAAAAGACAAAGUACUUAACUAGUGGUUCUUAUUCUCAACAUUUUACACCAAGUGCCACUUACAAAAUAGGCGAUUCAACUCUCUGAGUACCACCAUAAUAGCAACAUUGAAAUAAAAUCUAGGCCCAAAUGUUCAACAAAAACAUGGCAGAGGUUUUAGUCCUAAAAAUUAUUUUAUUGCUAUUGUAACACUGUACACAGUUUAAACAUUAAGGAUAAAAAAAAAUAAAAAAUAAAAUAAAA